rnacentral:lncRNA from 1 species
CUAAGAGUUGAGUAUAAUUGCUGAAAUUAUUAUAAUAGUAAUUUUUAUUUACUGUACUCAGUUUCCAGAAUAGGAUCUUGACUUAUGGAUAGAGAAUUCUAUCCAUGGUACAAUGAGGUGACAAUGGAAAAAGAAAGAAUGAGCAUUUUGAGGCAGCAGACCCAGAAACUUGGUAAAAAGAAGGCCUGGCUUACAUGAAGGGAAACCAAGAAACGUAUAUGUGAAUAUGUACGUGCAGCAUAUCUACUUAAGUACAGCUCUAACUUUGGUGCUCCACAGCAGUUCACAGGUACUCAAAUGUUUGGCUAAAAAGUGCUUUGCAUGUGACAAUUGUGAGUUGUGUGUUAAAUCAAGCUCCAAGAAAAGAGUACUUGCUCUGUGGUGCUUUCAAUUCCCAAAGAGUAUAUUUAGAUGGCACAGCUGGUGAACUGGUAAAGGCACCUCAGGAAGGCAGUUGUUUGGCUGCUGUGAUGGGACCAGUAGUAUUUAAAUUUUUACAUAUUCCUCCCAUUUAAUUUCCACAUUUCCCUACUUUCAAAACUUCUCUUUGUUUUGCUCAUCCUGUUUAUACUUCUGUUAAUUCCUUUGCAGACCUCAGAUUUUAGGCCCUCCUUCUGGGCUAAAACUCUUCUUCCUCAAAGCCCAUUUUAAAUUUCCUUAAAGGAGGUAAGAUAGGAAAAACAUCUAGGACAUUAAAUAUAUAUUAAAGUUUUAAUACACUGGCUGAAAUGAAUUUUAUCUUGAUUCCCAGAUUCCCUGUUCCCUGAAUUCUUAGCAUGUGGUGGCAUUUCCCAGGGACUGUUUUUAAAGUUGUUCAUUGUUAUGAACAUUUCACCUAUAUUUUAUUUCCUAAUUAUACUAUUAUACAAUCUUAAAGCUCAAUUCUUUAUAUUCCAUGCUUGCUUGCUUUUUUAAAAAAAAAUACAAUGUAGUGUAUAGCAGAGUUAUACAUAGAAUAUUUUGUUAAUUUUUGCAUGAACAAAUAAUCUUUCCUAUAAAAGUAUUUUACCUAAUGUAUAUAAUUAUCCCUCAAUAUUUUGUCUUUCAGUUUUAUAUAAGGUUCAUGUAAUUCAGUUCACUGACUCCAACAUACUGAAAUUAUAAUGUAGUUUUUGUUACGUUGUUGCUUAAAGUAGGAGAGCAGAUCAGAUUUAGCUAUUUUAUUGUGCAGUUUUGGAAACAAGACUGUCAGAUGACUUUAACUUACUGAAGACUAUGAAGGAAAGCAAUAGUUACAGGCAAGGCAAAAGCCACAUAAAUCUUUAGCAGGGCUGACUUCUACCCUAAAAUGUGUUGCCUGACUUUCCUUCCCUUGACUGUAGAAAUUGGGUUUGUCUAGAUUUUCUACAAUACAAGUUUGAGGCAUAGGAAUAAUUUCAUUACUUCUGAAUCUAAGUCACUUUCACACUUAAUUCUUCAUAAAAGUGUUUUCCGGGGUAUGACAAGAAUUAAAAUUUCUUAUGUUUGGACUCUUACAGUAAAGAGGUGGAAAAUAGAAUUAACUGCAACGAAAUGGUGUGUUAUGCAUCACUUUAGAAAUUAUUCUCUUUUUUUCUUUUAUUGAGCUACAGUUUUUCCUCAUGACUGACCUUCAGAUGAUUCUGAAUAUUACUUUCUGUCACAGAGCUUAGUAGACCAGUGUCUGGCCUUCCUAGGUUAUGAAACUACAAAUUGACAUUCCUAAGGCUUAUGGAUGAGGUCAUGAAGGUCUUUUAAUGGAGACUUACAAAUUGAAUAGUCAAAAUUUGCUAUCUGAAAGUUAGCAUCCACCUAUAAUCAAAGUCCAUUUGUGCUCUGGCCUUGAUAAUUUUAGUGAUGGCUUAUUAUGAGCUGAUUUUAGCAGGUAUCUGUAUUCCAUAAAAGGCAAUACUAUUAGAAAAUUGAGCAACAUAAGAAAUAUAUAGUCAUCAACUUUUCAUGAAGUUCCUUGAAAUAUAUCAAGUCAGCUGUUCAAGAAAUGUUAUAUUUUAAUGGCAUACUGAGAGACUGUGUCAACUAUUACAACACCACUAUCAUGUUCUUGCACAAAAUGACAAUGAACAGAAAGUAUAUCAGAUGGUACUUUCUCUUUAUAGUUAGAAAUCGAUUUUAAGAGACAAUGGAGCAAGUGGUUAUAAGUAUAAAAUUUAGAGGAGGGUAAGUGGGAAUAUUUCAAAUGAUUAUUUUUCUGACCCAGGAUAUUAUUUGAUCACAAAAUGGGGUAGAAUAUAGAUUCACCAAAGGAACAAUCAGUUAUCGACUAAAUCAGGUGAAAUAGCAUAAAGACACAAUUAUAGGCAUGAACAUUGCAUGCCAGGGGUCAGAGAGACAUUCAGACACUCAGAGGCAGAGGAGAACACAUGUCGUGCGAUUGGGGGGGUGAGGAUAAAGACAUAGAUUUAUGAAAGACUUCUCAGAACUGUAUAGUGAGCCCCAUGAAGAAUAAAUAUUGUUUAUGUUUCUAAGCAAUGGAAUUAGAAAAUGACAUCAUUCUUCUGCAAAGAUUAAUCAUAUCUGUGUCCUAAAAUGAUUGAAAGGGGAUAGAGGUGAGAAUUGGAAUUAAUAUUCACAGAUUUCAACUGAACUAAUGCUGAGAAAGAAAAGAGGAUGGAGAGGAAAGUAUAAAUAUGAGACAUUUUGAAAGAAGGCGCAGUCGAGCCUUACCAUAUAGCUAAAGAAAAUGGAAGUGAAAACACAGUCAGCAAUAUGCCAGCCUUACAAAUGGCUAAAUAUCUCUAAUGAGUAAUAAAAUGCUCACCAUGUUUUCUUAGCUCUGCCACCUUGAUGUUCAAUGAAUUUAUUCAUUGAAAGGCAAUGUGUCACUGCCAAGCUAGUGUGUAGGAGGCCACCAGGUAACAGGGAAGUGAUCUUUCCUGACACUGCUCUCACACACAGGAGCAUACACCUAUUACACACACAGGGUCCCCUGGGUGGCUGCAAAACAGGGAUUGAUGUGUUUUCAUUAUGUUGGGAAGAAUUUCAGUUUCCCAAAACUUAUUCUGUUAUUCAUUUACAAAAUCCCUUCUUUCAGUUUCAUGUCAUAUUUCAUCUCUCCUAACAGCUGCCAUUCUCCAAUCUUCUAUUAGACUCAGAAAAGUCUGAAGCAUUGAUACCUAAAUCAUUGGUUCCUCUGUAUGCCAUGAUCAGACAAAAGGAACUAGGGUCUGCCUCCGAAAUCUGAAAUCUAGUGUUUUGUAAGACCACAAUCUCUAAUUCUCUUCAUCUCCCUUACACCUGUGGUCCUCUUUGAUAAUGUCUCAGUAACCACCAGCCAUUUCUUCCUUCAAUAAAAGCACUUCAUAAACAACUGAUGCCCUUCAUUUUCUUGCAAAUCUCCUCUCAUGUCAACAAAGCCAGGCUACAAUCCUGAAUAUAUGCCACAAUCUACCACCUCCCUUUACCUAUUUGGGAUAUACUCUGAGAACAGCCAUGAUUGUUAACCUUAGUUCCUCAAAUCUACUUUCAGUAUGUCCACUCGAUGUCUGAAAACUAAUGUCAGUCUGCCACUUCCUUAAAUAUCUAUUAAUGAUUGCUGUGACUCCUGUGUAUAUUCGUGUUUCUUUUCACUGAAACAUGAAGGGUUAAAUCUAAUCCCUUACUUAACUAGAAAGCAGCUCUUACACUCCACCUUCUUCCAAUUUCCUCUAACAUUUUUUACUUCUCUUUUCUUCACCAGUGCCCCUCUGCUCUACCCUUGUGCAAUAUGCAAUUCUUCUUGAAUAACAGUGUCUAGAAGUUUUCCAGAUUGAGUAUUGUAAUCUGAGAAUUACAGAAAGAUUUAGAACUUGAAAACUUUGCUCCCUUGUUUAAGAAAGAAAGCAUAUGUAAAAACUCAAAACCAACCAAACAGAAAAUAAGUAAGGCUGUACUCAUUAAAAACACUUUCCUGGAAAGAGGACAGCAGAGUACUACCCUGGAAAAGCAAGGUAAUAAGUAUAUCUUACAUAUUCCAGUAUUUCCUCAUUUGCUUAAUACAAAUGAAUUCCAUUGUCACCAAAAAUGUUUAAAUUAUUAAAUCACAUUUUUAUGUAAGACAAGCUAUCCUAAAAAAGGAACCCAAAGGACAUAGAAAGUUCCAAAUAUAGAAUGUUCAUUAUCAUGCAAAAGUCAGUGUCUUUUGCCACCUAGCAUUUGCUUUGCCCCUCAUCCUCAUGAUACCCAGCCCAGUUUUCACAAGUGUUCAUUCUUUCAAAGUCCUCUCUCCCUCUGUGACCUCCAGGGUGAGCGUGAUUGUCUUAAGGAAUUCCCAUUCCAUUUAGCUCAGUUCAAUGCCCCAAACCUGAGCCAGUCAGUGAGUAGCAUUCUAUGGGCCCCAGAACUCAAGUACCAGGAUAACUGUAAUUCAUAAAAAUGAAAUUCCAGGCCGCGAGUCGCGCGGAACACACCAAAUCAGCCCGCUGCAGACAGGCAGGUCUGCGGACACCCUACCGAGGUCUCAAGUCGUGUGGAACAUGCCGAAUGAGCCCAUGCCCCGGCAACAAUCCACUGGACACCACCACCACCACCACCACCCCCAAACAGCUCCUCUGGUCUAUCCUUCUUCCCAUCUGUCCCUCCCUCCCCAACUCUUUCUAACUCCCUAUCCCAGAGGGUAAAGUUGUUAUAUUGAAGAGUUUUUUCACUAUAUGUUGGGUUGGUCCUCAAUCUUGAUUUAAUUCACACAGCUAAAGGUGAUAGAUUAAAAACUACCACAAAAUGUCAUUUUUGAAGAUGUACUUGAUGCAGUGGUGUUGCUGAUUGUAUCACUUGGCCUAAGGUGUUGUGAUUGAUCUAGUCAAUGAACCUUCCUAGUAUAAGGAAAAUGAGAUAGCCUUAGAGUCAUUAGAGACUCAAAACUUAAAGACCAGCUAUAUCUGGAAGACACCUCUGAGAAGCAAUCAGUCCAUAAGGGUUCUAAUUAUGAGCAACAAAGAUACCUACAAUAAGCAAUUUCAAACUAUCAACCCAGGAGUUAAACCAAGGACAGUGCCAAAAACAAAAAUGAGAAGACAUUUAAGCAAGGCACAAACUCAGACUUCCACCCCACCAAGGAUAAAUCCUGGGGGAAAUGAGAUGGAAAUGUCCCAUAACCAACCACCUGGACACCCUGAACUAAUAGCACAGGAAGUAACAAAACAGAUGAAUGAGGCUCUAGAAAAAUUCCAAGCAGAAAUAAUCUCCCAGAUAUCUACAGAGAUGGUGAGCAGAGUGAAAGACAUGAUUAGAGGAUCUAGAACAGAAACAGAUAAAAAAAUAGAUGAGCUCAGAAACAUGCUGGAAGCCAUGAAUGCCCAGCAUAAGAAAGAAAUGGAAACUAUGAUCGCCCAACAUAAGAAAGAAAUGGAAUCCAUGAAACAGAUUCAAACAGAUAUUCAGGAGAUCAAAAACUCCAUUGAAAGUAUCCACAGCAGAUUAAGGGAAUCUGAAGAUAGAAUAUCAGAUAUAGAAGACAGGAUUGUGGUUAGAGACCAUGAAAAUAGAGAUUUCUUAAAAAUAGUAAGGGACCACGAGAAAUCAAUCCAACAACUGCUAGACGAUGCAAAGAAGAAUAACAUAAGACUGAUAGGAGGAGUCCAUGAAAAAACAGGAGAAAGCACAAUUGACAUUAAAAAAAACCUGUUCACAGAGUAAUAGUGGAAAACUUCCCAGACAGAGGUAGAGAAUUGGACAUACAGAUAAGUGAAGCAUAUAGAACUCCAACUAGCCAUGAUCAAAAAAAAUCUACAUCUAGACAUAUAAUAGUCAAGAUCCCAGAAACCCAACAGAAAAACAAAAUCCUACAGGGAGUUAGAGAAAAGAAACAAAUCACCUAUAAAGGAAAGCCCAUCAGAAUCAUGGCAGACUUCUCAACACAAACCCUCAAAUCAAAGAGAGCCUGGAAUGAAGUAUUUCAAGCCUUAAAAGAAAAUAACUUCCAACCUAGACUGUUGUAUCCUGCAAAAUUAUCUUUCAAAAUUGAUGGGGAAAUUAGAUACUUCCAUGACAAAGAACACCUGAGAAAUUUCAUGAAC